rnacentral:misc_RNA from 1 species
CUCUUUUCCUUUCCGAGUAAAAG